rnacentral:lncRNA from 1 species
UUUAAAAUUUAAUUUCUAAGUUUAAACUCAUAUUAUAAUUAAAAAGUUGAAAAAAAAUAAAUUUAAUCCAAAUAAAUAUCCAUUCCGUCCGGAUUCAACUUCCAAUCCGGCCUCCUAGGCCGGAUUGAAAAAAAGAGGUGAUUGGGGGAUUCCCAUUCUACUCGGGAAUUGGAAUGAGACUCUCGCGUACCAAACACCUACAAACGGAUUCACUCAUUCUGAUUCCGAUUCCAGGAUGAAAAAGAAGCGAACCAAAGACGCCUUAUAUAUAAAAUCAUGUAUUUCAAAUUUCGGUAUGUCGAUGGACCCAUUUUAUGGCGGGAAAAAAAAUUGAUUCCUCUUUCCUUACGUAAAAUAAAUAAUAGAAUUAAAAAAACUUUUAUUUCCUCUUUAUUUCUACAACAGAAAAAAAUUUAUACUUAUCCAAAUUUUUACCAAUAUGAGAAUAUCUACUUUAAAUUUUUAUUUAAUUUGUUUUUAUCUCUAACUGUAAUAUAAUAUCUAUACUAUCUAGCACGUAUUUCAAAUUUCGAUAUGUCGGCAGAUCCAUUUUUAAGCGGAAAAAGAAUUUGAUUACUCUUUCCUUACGUAAAAUAAAUAGCACAAUAAAACAAACUUUUAAUUUAUCUUUACCUCUAAAAUAAAAAAUAUAUAUACUUAUUCAAAUUUUGCCAAGCGAAAGAUAUCUAUUGUGAAUCUAUAUUUUAAUUCAAAAUUUGUUUAAUUUCUUUUUAUCUCUAAAAUAGAAAUAAAUUCAUACUUAUCCAAAUUUUUGCCAGAAUAUCAAUAUGCUCUAUCCAUCUAUUUUACAUUAAAAUUUAAAUU